rnacentral:tRNA from 1 species
UCCCUGGUAGCUCAGAGGUUAAAGCGUCUGCCUGCAAUACGGAAGACCAGGUUCGAUUCCUGGGUAGGGAA